rnacentral:rRNA from 1 species
GAAAGGCCCUUCGGGGUACUCGAGUGGCGAACGGGUGAGUAACACGUGGGUGAUCUGCCCUGCACUUUGGGAUAAGCCUGGGAAACUGGGUCUAAUACCGAAUAUGACCACGCGCUUCAUGGUGUGUGGUGGAAAGCUUUUGCGGUGUGGGAUGGGCCCGCGGCCUAUCAGCUUGUUGGUGGGGUAAUGGCCUACCAAGGCGACGACGGGUAGCCGGCCUGAGAGGGUGACCGGCCACACUGGGACUGAGAUACGGCCCAGACUCCUACGGGAGGCAGCAGUGGGGAAUAUUGCACAAUGGGCGCAAGCCUGAUGCAGCGACGCCGCGUGAGGGAUGACGGCCUUCGGGUUGUAAACCUCUUUCAAUAGGGACGAAGCGCAAGUGACGGUACCUAUAGAAGAAGGACCGGCCAACUACGUGCCAGCAGCCGCGGUAAUACGUAGGGUCCGAGCGUUGUCCGGAAUUACUGGGCGUAAAGAGCUCGUAGGUGGUUUGUCGCGUUGUUCGUGAAAACUCACAGCUUAACUGUGGGCGUGCGGGCGAUACGGGCAGACUAGAGUACUGCAGGGGAGACUGGAAUUCCUGGUGUAGCGGUGGAAUGCGCAGAUAUCAGGAGGAACACCGGUGGCGAAGGCGGGUCUCUGGGCAGUAACUGACGCUGAGGAGCGAAAGCGUGGGGAGCGAACAGGAUUAGAUACCCUGGUAGUCCACGCCGUAAACGGUGGGUACUAGGUGUGGGUUUCCUUCCUUGGGAUCCGUGCCGUAGCUAACGCAUUAAGUACCCCGCCUGGGGAGUACGGCCGCAAGGCUAAAACUCAAAGGAAUUGACGGGGGCCCGCACAAGCGGCGGAGCAUGUGGAUUAAUUCGAUGCAACGCGAGAACCUUACCUGGGUUUGACAUGCACAGGACGACUGCAGAGAUGUGGUUCCUGUCUCG